rnacentral:rRNA from 1 species
CCUACGGGAGGCAGCAGUGAGGAAUAUUGGUCAAUGGACGAGAGUCUGAACCAGCCAAGUAGCGUGAAGGAUGACUGCCCUAUGGGUUGUAAACUUCUUUUAUAUGGGAAUAAAAUGUUCCACGUGUGGGAUUUUGUAUGUAACAUAUGAAUAAGGAUCGGCUAAAUCCGUGCCAGCAGCCGCGGUUAUACGGGGGAUUCGAGCGUUUUCCGGAUUUCUUGGGUUUAAAGGGAGCGUAGGUGGAUUGUUAAGGCAGUUGUGAAAGUUUGCGGCUCAACCGUAAAAUUGCAGUUGAAACUGGCAGUCUUGAGUACAGUAGAGGUAGGCGGAAUCCGUGGUGUAGCGGUGAAAUGCUUAGAUAUCACGAAGAACUCCGAUUGCGAAGGCAGCUCACUGGACUGCAACUGACGCUGAGGCUCGAAAGUGUGGGUAUCAAACAGGAUUAGAUACCCCGGUAGUC